rnacentral:rRNA from 1 species
AGAUUGAACGCUAGCGGGAUGCUUUACACAUGCAAGUCGAACGGCAGCGCGGACUUCGGUCUGGCGGCGAGUGGCGAACGGGUGAGUAAUAUAUCGGAACGUGCCCAGUAGCGGGGGAUAACUACGCGAAAGCGUGGCUAAUACCGCAUACGCCCUACGGGGGAAAGGGGGGAUCGCAAGACCUCUCACUAUUGGAGCGGCCGAUAUCGAGAUUAGCUAGUUGGUGA